AUGAACGCUGGCGGCGUGCCUAAUACAUGCAAGUCGCGCGAACAGACGAGGAGCUUGCUCCUCUGACGUUAGCGGCGGACGGGUGAGUAACACGUGGAUAACCUACCUAUAAGACUGGGAUAACUUCGGGAAACCGGAGCUAAUACCGGAUAAUAUAUUGAACCGCAUGGUUCAAUAGUGAAAGACGGCUUUGCUGUCACUUAUAGAUGGAUCCGCGCCGCAUUAGCUAGUUGGUAAGGUAACGGCUUACCAAGGCAACGAUGCGUAGCCGACCUGAGAGGGUGAUCGGCCACACUGGAACUGAGACACGGUCCAGACUCCUACGGGAGGCAGCAGUAGGGAAUCUUCCGCAAUGGGCGAAAGCCUGACGGAGCAACGCCGCGUGAGUGAUGAAGGUCUUCGGAUCGUAAAACUCUGUUAUUAGGGAAGAACAAAUGUGUAAGUAACUAUGCACGUCUUGACGGUACCUAAUCAGAAAGCCACGGCUAACUACGUG
rnacentral:rRNA from 1 species